GACGAACGCUGGCGGCGUGCUUAACACAUGCAAGUCGAACGGAAAGGCCCUGCUUUUGUGGGGUGCUCGAGUGGCGCGCGGGUGAGUAACACGUGAGUAACCUGCCCUUGACUUUGGGAUAACUUCAGGAAACUGGGGCUAAUACCGGAUAGGAGCUCCUGCUGCAUGGUGGGGGUUGGAAAGUUUCGGCGGUUUGGGAUGGACUCGCGGCUUAUCAGCUUGUUGGUGGGGUAGUGGCUUACCAAGGCUUUGACGGGUAGCCGGCCUGAGAGGGUGACCGGCCACAUUGGGACUGAGAUACGGCCCAGACUCCUACGGGAGGCAGCAGUGGGGAAUAUUGCACAAUGGGCGGAAGCCUGAUGCAGCAACGCCGCGUGCGGGAUGACGGCCUUCGGGUUGUAAACCGCUUUCGCCGGUGACGAAGCGUGAGUGACGGUAAUGGGUAAAGAAGCACCGGCUAACUACGUG
rnacentral:rRNA from 1 species